CCUACGGGGGGCAGCAGUGGGGAAUAUUGCACAAUGGGGGAAACCCUGAUGCAGCGACGCCGCGUGAGCGAUGAAGUAUUUCGGUAUGUAAAGCUCUAUCAGCAGGGAAGAAAAUGACGGUACCUGACUAAGAAGCCCCGGCUAACUACGUGCCAGCAGCCGCGGUAAUACGUAGGGGGCAAGCGUUAUCCGGAUUUACUGGGUGUAAAGGGAGCGUAGGCGGCGGUGCAAGCCAGAUGUGAAAGCCCGGGGCUCAACCCCGGGACUGCAUUUGGAACUGUGCUGCUAGAGUGUCGGAGAGGCAGGCGGAAUUCCUAGUGUAGCGGUGAAAUGCGUAGAUAUUAGGAGGAACACCAGUGGCGAAGGCGGCCUGCUGGACGAUGACUGACGCUGAGGCACGAAGGCCAGGGGAGCGAAAGGGAUUAGAUACCCGUGUAGUC
rnacentral:rRNA from 1 species